rnacentral:rRNA from 1 species
UACGUAGGGUGCGAGCGUUAAUCGGAAUUACUGGGCGUAAAGCGUGCGCAGGCGGUUUUGUAAGCCAGAUGUGAAAUCCCCGGGCUUAACCUGGGAAUGGCAUUUGGGACUGCAAGGCUUGAGUGCGGCAGAGGAGACUGGAAUUCCUGGUGUAGCGGUGAAAUGCGCAGAUAUCUGGAGGAACACCGGUGGCGAAGGCGGCAUCCUGGACCAAUACUGACGCUGAGGAGCGAAAGCCAGGGGAGCAAACGGG